CUGAUAUUGAAUUGCUUAUCUCAUAUUGCCUCUAAAGUCCUUCUUGGAUACCUUAAGGCAGAAUAACAUUUGAGGUCUCAGCAUUUUAACACACUUCUGUAAAGUGAACUCCGGAGAGGAAGUACUACUUUUUCCAAAGAGAGACGAAAGCUGUAACAACUAUAGAAUUGCCAUCACCCUGCCACAAUUCCUACUGUCAUGCUUAUGUCAGAUGUGACAAAUUUUGAAAAGUUUUGAGAGACACUGGGCUUGAACCUACAGACCAGGAGAUCAUGACCUUAGCUGACGUCGGCUGUUUAACCCACUGAGCUACCCAAGGGCCCCCAUAGUGGUGAGUUUUUAUCUAAUGCCAUUU
rnacentral:lncRNA from 1 species